rnacentral:misc_RNA from 1 species
GAAUCCACCAACCAUCCAUCACAAAAUGGUGUCUAACCAGAAAGUGUAACCCAAUAUAGGACCUCAAAACUACAUUAAGAAAGAUCAAACAAACACCAUAUCCAAGUCCCAACGUCUGUUCAUCAACUGUUUCAUUAUCUCACAUUAAGCUUUUGAUAAAUUCCAACUUCAAGUACCAAUUGGCUGGUGUGCCAAAGAAGUAGGCCUUACAUUCACCUGAGUAAAUAUGGAAUUGUUCUCUUCUCCAUCAUCAAAGAAUUGGAGAGAUGCUCAAAUUGAUGGACCACAUCAUCAACAUAAACCACCAAAGACACCAUCACAUAGGCACAGAACCAUCUUGAUAUUUCAUGACAGAUCAGACAUCAA